rnacentral:rRNA from 1 species
GCCGGCAGCUAGCUCUCUGCAACUCUCACAUGGUCGCCCACUGAAGCUAAGCAGGGCUGCGCCCGGUUAGUACCUGGAUGGGAGACCACAUAGGAAAGCUAGGUUGCUGCCGGAA